rnacentral:lncRNA from 1 species
UUUUCAUUUUGUCAUCCCACUCCAUUUGAAUUUUUUUGUUUUGUUUGUUUUUUUCCUCCUAGUGCUGAAUGAAAGAGAGAACAAGGAAAAAGAAAGGAAAAUGAACUUGGACACAACCCAGCACGUACCUCCAGGUCCUGGUCCUUUUGAUCUGGCUUAGUCAUCCGCAGUUGUACUAUGCUGCAUUACAUGAGAAUGGCAACUUUUGCUGUUACAAUUUUUCAUUACAAGAGACUGAUUGAUUCUCCGGUUGUUAGAACAUUUACCUCUUAUGAGGAAGACAGAAGUUCAAAUUCCUGCUUUGAAUCAAAUAAGGCAGGUCUGAUCCCAUGUUUGAUCUAUUUUUACUACUGUGUUACCUCAUCCUUGAGGAAGUCCUGAUUUCAUUAAAGGUGUCCUUGGUCUCUUUGGCUUCAGAAGUCAACACUGCAUACACUGUUAUUACUGAAAAAUGGGAAUUCUUAUCUAUUCAUCUACUUCACUGCUAUGUCCAUGUAGACAAAUUUACUGCAGCCAGAUACGAUAAAAAAACAGCAAAGUUCAGAUGGGGAUAAUCCAGGAUGGAAACCAGGACAAAGUGGAGGCAAUAAAAGCAGCCGUCCUAAAACAAACGAGAUGGAUGCAGAAAACCAGUGCAACUCUGAUUACAAUGUUUGCAGCAAGAAAAUUACCAAGAGUAGAAUGAAGUUAGUGAAAGAUUUGACUUCUCAAGCAAAGCCCGUGGAAAUCCAUUCUGCUCUUUAAAUGUUCAUAUUGUUAUGGCAUCAGAACAGCUCCUAGAAGAGUAUUAAACAAUAUGGUUAAACAUGAAUAAUACCUGUGAUGUUAGUGUUCUUCUUCCUAUUGUUUUUUUUUUCUUUUUUCCCAAGAAAUUUUGUAUGAGUAGCACAGAAUUUCCUCUGAGUUUGAUUGAUUUAGUGACUUUAAGCUUGUGGCAUUAGUUGACACUGAGCUUUACAGUGUAGAAAUUUCACUAACCCUGAGAUAACCGUGCUCAAAUAUUGCUCAAUAAAUCUGAAAACCAACAGAGAGGCUGAGGGCGG